rnacentral:rRNA from 1 species
AUUGAACGCUGGCGGCAGGCCUAACACAUGCAAGUCGAGCGGUAGAGAGAAGCUUGCUUCUCUUGAGAGCGGCGGACGGGUGAGUAAAGCAUAGGAAUCUGCCUGGUAGUGGGGGAUAACGUUCGGAAACGGACGCUAAUACCGCAUACGUCCUACGGGAGAAAGCAGGGGAUCUUAGGGCCUUGCGCUAUCGGAUGAGCCGAGGUCGGAUUAGCGAGUUGGUGGGGUAAUGGCUCACCAAGGCGACGAUCCGUAACUGGUCUGAGAGGAUGAUCAGUCACACUGGAACUGAGACACGGUCUAGACUCCUACGGGAGGCAGCAGUGGGGAAUAUUGGACAAUGGGCGAAAGCCUGAUCCAGCCAUGCCGCGUGUGUGAAGAAGGUCUUCGGAUUGUAAAGCACUUUAAGUUGGGAGGAAGGGCAUUAACCUAAUACGUUAGUGUUUUGACGUUACCGACAGAAUAAGCACCGGCUAACUCUGUGCCAGCAGCCGCGGUAA